UUUCUGAAAGCAAGACAUAUGUGGGCUGAAAUGAUUCAAUGGAGGUUUACCAGCAGAACUAGCUGCAAAGUUAGUGGUUAAGGAGGCAAUACAACCAGCGAAAUUGUUAUCGGUGGAAAGGCUGAAAAGGGCUUUAAGAGUUGUACCCGGCUCAGGAAGUUUGGAGGGCCAUUUUGCAAUUUCAUCUUGUUGAUAGAGCCCCUGAAGAUUGGGAGAUAAAAGUUACCUGGGCUUGUUUUGUUUUUAGAGGAAUGGCAUUCCCCCAAUUUUAUAAUGUAGAAACAAGAUUGAACGUUUCAGCUAUUGGUUGAUUGGGAGCUUAAGCUUUUAUUUUUGUCAAAUGAUAAUUUAAAGUUUCAAAAAAA